UCUCACGCAUUUUUCCUUAGACUAUGGAUUUUGUCCCUACUUGGGUAUUUGCCAUAGCCUUAGGGUUUUUAGUGAGACUUACUACUUAUGCAAAUUCCUACCUUAUUGAGAAUAAGCGUUGUUCCUUGGAAUCAGUGCCAACGAGUCGACUUCCUCAACUUCUGCAUGAUGCUGAAUCUACCUUGAGUAUUUACACACUCAAGGGGGAGUGUUGUAAACAUUCCUAGUUUAAGUAUGAUUGUGUAAAUCCUAGAUAAGAUUUGAUUAUAGUUAUCCUUUCCUAUUACAACUUGUAUUACUUGGAGGAGAAGGAAUAUUUUCUCUCCCUUUACUACUAUAAAUAAAGGCACAAUGUAGGAGGGAUAACAACACACACAUUCCCCUACAAUUCUACAAACACACAUCUCUCUCCUCUCUCUCUCUGCCGCCGGCCCUAGUCCCUCUGUCAGAUAAAAUAGACCACAACACUAAGGCUAAUUUUUUUUUUUAAAAUUAACUUUUAAAAAAAAUUAUGUAGAGUAUACUAAAUUAAUUUUAUGAACAUUUUAACCUAAAAAUAUUUAAAUUCCGAUAAAUUUUGAAAAAUCACUAAAUCAAUACAUGAAAAUCAUGAUAAACCACAUAAACUUAAAAAAAAAAGACAAUUAAUAAACCACAUAAACUUAAUACAAUCGAAAACUCAUAGACUACAUAAACCUAAUAAUGAUAUCCAUCAUCUUGACUUGGUGGUGGACUUGGGUGAUAGUCUUAAGAUGAAUCAUCAUCUUGAAAUAUACUUCUUGUGGCAUUCCUUCAUAAAAUUUCUUUUUGCUUACCACGUAAGUAUCUCUUCCUCUCUGAAGUGUAUUUAUCGAGGUCCUCCAUUAUCAAAUUAGUUUCGUACCUUUCUUGCUCCCUAUCCCCUUCUUGCUUCAUGGCCAAAAACAUUUGGGCCGAUUCUUCUUGCCGACGACAUUGGUUUUCGUUCAUUCUUGCCAUUUCGCUAACAAAUUGUGCAUGUAUCGGAUCUUGGGACUUCCCUUUUCUCUUUGCUUCCUUUGUCUUAUCUCUACCCG
rnacentral:lncRNA from 1 species